AUCCAUCUGACGAGUCCGAAAUAGGACGAAAUGCACUUUGUCCUGGAU
rnacentral:hammerhead_ribozyme from 1 species